rnacentral:rRNA from 1 species
GACGAAGGAUGCAAGCGUUAUCCGGAUUCAUUGGGUUUAAAGGGAGCGUAGGUGGCCUUAUAAGUCAGUGGUGAAAUCUCUGGGCUUAACCCAGAAAUUGCCAUUGAUACUGUAGGGCUUGAGUAUAGAUGCCGUUGGCGGAAUAUGACAUGUAGUGGUGAAAUACAUGGAGAUGUCAUAGAACACCGAUUGCGAAGGCAGCUAACGAAACUAUAACUGACACUGAGGCUCGAAAGUGUGGGGAUCAAACAGG